CAGUUCGGACUGUAGGCUGCAACUCGCCUACACGAAGUCGGAAUCGCUAGUAAUCGCGGAUCAGCAUGCCGCGGUGAAUACGUUCCCGGGCCUUGUACACACCGCCGUCACACCAUGGGAGUUUGUAACGCCCAAAGUCGGUGGCCUAACCUUUAUGGAGGGAGCCGCCUAAGGCGGGACAGAUGACUGGGGUGAAGUCGUAACAAGGUACC
rnacentral:rRNA from 1 species